GAUGAAAGCAAGCAGAGUGAUGAGAAGUAGAGAUGUAAUACCUUUGCCUGCUGGGCAUUGUAAAACUAAGACUGGUAUGCCUCAAAAUUAAUUUCUCCUAGUCAAAUUGAAAGCAGAUCUCAUCAGUGGGACCAAUAUUUCACUCUCAAUAUUUUUUUUCACAGGGAAAUCCUGUUUACUUGGACCCUUGCCUGCCAAGUGAAACAAUAUUUGAGUCCUUCAGUGAGAUAUAAACUUCAAUCCAGGUAGGAAAUCACUGGGUAUUAACUGA
rnacentral:lncRNA from 12 species